rnacentral:lncRNA from 1 species
UUUUCAUUUGUUAAAUUGGGCAUUCCUUUUCAAGUUUCCUAGAAAGUCAUAAAGGAAUCACAUACCCCUAAGCUUGCUUUCUCAUUCUUUUUCUCAAACUUUCCUUAUUUGGUGUUGUUUUUUUUCUUCUUCUUGGUAGAUGAGACUAAAGAACUCUUGACUCUCAUAUGAACACCCCUAUAAUUUUUGAAAAUCCCCUUAGCCAUCUAAAAGAAAUCUUGGUAAGGUCUUUAAGAUCAUAUAAACCCUAGUGUUCAUAAUAGUCCUAAGGGCAACUUGUUUGGAUGACUUUCCCUAAUGUGGACCCGUAUUUUUCACGUACGUCCCCACUCAAUGGCAAUACUCAUUGGUGAAAAAUUAGUUUUGGAAAAGUUGGAGUCACCUCUUAUUUUAUUUUAUUUUUAAAGGGAAAAUAAAACAAGAAAGAAAACCCUAAAGAAGUGACUCCAUAGUUUAGGAAAAACAAGUCUUGAAAAACCCGAGUCUUGGUUUGGGGAUCAGGUUACCUAUUGGGAAGGUACCUCUAAGAGGUAGCACCCCUCUAAGCCCUAAAGAGGUCUCUAAUGACUAAGUUGAAGGAGAAAUGACAAUUAAUUAAUUGAUUGAAGGUACUUAGGUAGACUAAGGUGAUUUCAAAACUGGCAUGCCAAAAAAAGAAAUCAAAUCACAAUUGUAAAGGAAGGUUUGAAUGUGUACUUGGACUGUUUCUCAAGCACUAUCAUAAAACAUCAAAGUUAGCAUAUAAAUAUAAUACACAACAUGCAUUUUAUCCAAGCAAAUCUAACAUACAUCUAAGCACCCAAGGAUGGAAUCGGACAUAGAUAUGGCUCACAACAACAUGCAUGUUUAUAAAAUUCCGAAAAGCAAGUGAUAGAGAGCAUACCUGGAUAGCAUGC